GAGGAGAACAGGGGUCCUGGUGGUCUGU
rnacentral:piRNA from 1 species